AUACGGAGGGUGCAAGCGUUAAUCGGAAUUACUGGGCGUAAAGCGUACGUAGGCGGUUAUUUAAGUCAGAUGUGAAAGCCCCGGGCUUAACUUGGGAACUGCAUUUGAAACUGGGUAACUAGAGUUUAGUAGAGGGGAGUGGAAAUUCAGGUGUAGCGGUGAAAUGCGUAGAGAUCUGAAGGAACACCAGUGGCGAAGGCGACUCCCUGGACUAGAACUGACGCUGAGGUACGAAAGCGUGGGUAGCAAACAGGAUUAGAUACCCUAGUAGUCC
rnacentral:rRNA from 1 species